AGAUUGAACGCUGGCGGCAGGCCUAACACAUGCAAGUCGAGCGGCAGCACGGGUACUUGUACCUGGUGGCGAGCGGCGGACGGGUGAGUAAUGCCUAGGAAUCUGCCUGGUAGUGGGGGAUAACGCUCGGAAACGGACGCUAAUACCGCAUACGUCCUACGGGAGAAAGCAGGGGACCUUCGGGCCUUGCGCUAUCAGAUGAGCCUAGGUCGGAUUAGCUAGUUGGUGAGGUAAUGGCUCACCAAGGCGACGAUCCGUAACUGGUACUGAGGAGGUAUGA
rnacentral:rRNA from 1 species